rnacentral:misc_RNA from 1 species
CCCGCCAAGGCCAGGAGGCAUU